rnacentral:rRNA from 1 species
CCUACGGGCGGCUGCAGUGGGGAAUAUUGGACAAUGGGGGCAACCCUGAUCCAGCCAUGCCGCGUGUGUGAAGAAGGCCCUCGGGUUGUAAAGCACUUUCAGUGAGGAAGAACGCCUGGUGGUUAAUACCCAUCAGGAAAGACAUCACUCACAGAAGAAGCACCGGCUAACUCCGUGCCAGCAGCCGCGGUAAUACGGAGGGUGCGAGCGUUAAUCGGAAUUACUGGGCGUAAAGCGCGCGUAGGUGGCUUGAUAAGCCGGUUGUGAAAGCCCCGGGCUCAACCUGGGAACGGCAUCCGGAACUGUCAAGCUAGAGUGCAGGAGAGGAAGGUAGAAUUCCCGGUGUAGCGGUGAAAUGCGUAGAGAUCGGGAGGAAUACCAGUGGCGAAGGCGGCCUUCUGGACUGACACCGACACUGAGGUGCGAAAGCGUGGGUAGCAAACAGGAUUAGAUACCCCGGUAGUC